AUGAAAGUAAUGUCAUUAAACGUGUUGUUGUUGUUGCAAGUUAAAACUGGAAAAUUGCUAAGUGAGAAUGGAAAUGCUAUGUGUGUUGUUUAGCCAUGUGUAUGAAACAGUUUUGAAUGGUGCAUGGACUGCCCAAGUUCCCUAAGUCAUGUUUAAACAAGUCUUGAUUAAUAUAUGAAAGAACGAUUAGCAAUGUUAGCUUGUAACGCUAGUUGGUUUGAAUGCGAACGAAACGUCGUUUAAUUGUUAGAAAGGAACUGUGAGUGUCACAAUACGUAUUGAAUGCCCUUGUAGACUAAUUGUAGUUCUUCACAUCUUGAUAUAGGAUAAGUGUUUUUGGGCAGCAAGUACAAGUUAGAAUACAACUAAACGCAAAAGGUACAGACGCUCGUUUCGGAGAUCCGCCAGCUUAGGACACUAUUUCAGCUAUUUUGGACUGCUCCUUUGUUCCGGAGCUAGCUUGUGGUAUAACUCCCUUAUGUUGUAUUCGUAUGUGUUUAUUUGGGUAUGGCGGGGCCCUGUCCCGCCACAUAAUACGGUCAUUACUCUUAGAGGUCUGUGGACAUCGGUGUGGGUCUGUUUGUAGUUGUUGAUGCGUUUUAUGUCUAUGACUUAUGUUUGGGGCG